CGUGCCCCAAACUAAGACCUUGUCACGGCUGAAAGAAAAUAUAGAUAUAUUUGACUUCGAGCUCUCUGGAGAUGACAUGAAAAAGCUUGAGAAACUUAACCAGAACUUCCGGGUGAUAUGGCUGGAGAGUCUAAAACACAGCAAAAAUUAUCCAUUCCAUUCGUAA